GGCUGAUUGGGUUCACCUGUGCUCUGAACCUUUGUCAUUGUCAUUCUUUUUACUUCCUUUUCCUCCAAAACUUCAGUUUAUCUGGCAUUCUCUGGAUUCCUGCCCAGCUUCCUUUUGGAUCCUGAGGACGGCGUCCACGCUUCCUCCUUACAGACGGUUUGGACUUGGCGCUCCACCCUGACGCUACGCUUCUGAUCCACGGUGGAAAUGAGAAUGUCUGCGUGAUCAGUGAUAGUCCUUUCCAUGAAACCUUCAUGGAUGGAUGGAUGGAAGCAGCCUGACCUCCACGUUGAACAUCCCUACAAACUGAGAAGGCUCUGGCAGGAGGAAGACCUCCAACACACAGGAGAACCGUGAUCUUCUGGAGGGGCUUGAUCCUGGAGGCUGUGACCAGUGAGAGGACGGUCUGAACAUCCCAAGAGUCUAAAGGAUGGAGGUUCCUGAUGGAAAACAGUCAGUUAGACGUUUUGUUCACCUUUCAAUGCAUCUUCUGUAAUGGGGGCGGAGCUUCACUGGACCAUCAGAUGCUCCUUUUAGAAAGAUUUAAACGGUUUUUGGAUGUAAAUACAGUUUAUCUUAUUUAAAGUUGCUGCUAUGUGAAACACAACUAAACUGGGGAUCUCUGCCCUUUGACCCGCCUUCUAGGUUAAAAAAAACUGAU